UGCCAGACUCCUACGGGAGGCAGCAGUGGGGAAUAUUGCACAAUGGGGGAAACCCUGAUGCAGCGACGCCGCGUGAGUGAAGAAGUAUUUCGGUACGUAAAGCUCUAUCAGCAGGGAAGAAAAAAAGUCCUUUGGACUUUGGACGGUACCUGACUAAGAAGCCCCGGCUAACUACGUGCCAGCAGCCGCGGUAAUACGUAGGGGGCAAGCGUUAUCCGGAUUUACUGGGUGUAAAGGGAGCGUAGACGGCAGUGCAAGUCUGAAGUGAAAGGCGGGGGCCCAACCCCCGGACUGCUUUGGAAACUGUGCUGCUGGAGUGCAGGAGAGGCAAGUGGAAUUCCUAGUGUAGCGGUGAAAUGCGUAGAUAUUAGGAGGAACACCAGUGGCGAAGGCGGCUUGCUGGACUGUAACUGACGUUGAGGCCCGAAAGCGUGGGGAGCAAACAGGAUUAGAUACCCUGGUA
rnacentral:rRNA from 1 species